rnacentral:misc_RNA from 1 species
GGAAUAGCCGCAUCCUUGCAGAUGCGCGAACCUCAGUCCCCCCCAGGGUAUUACACAACGGGCUAUAACACUCCCCGAAGAGAGCCACAUUCCCGAAGUCUUUAUCCCCCGGGGAAAACUGAUGCUGGCCUGGACUGGAAAAGUGCACUGGGGAGAACCCCAGAUGAUUAACCAAGCCCAAGUCUGGUCAUAAACGCUUCCCUUUCAACAAUUUCACGUACUUUUUAACUCUCUUUUCAAAGUGCUUUUCAUCUUUCGAUCACUCUACUUGUGCGCUAUCGGUCUCUGGCCGGUAUUUAGCUUUAGAAGACAUAUACCUCCCAUUUAGAGCAGCAUUCCCAAACUACUCGACUCGUCGAAGGAACUUUACAGAGAUUUGGCAUCCAACCAGACGGGGCUCUCACCCUCUAUGGCGUCCCGUUCCAGGGAACUCGGAAGGCACCGCAUCAAAAGUAUCCUCUACAAAUUACAACUCGGGCCCGAGAGCCAGAUUUCAAAUUUGAGCUGUUGCCGCUUCACUCGCCGUUACUAGGGCAAUCCCUGUUGGUUUCUUUUCCUCCGCUUAUUGAUAUGCUUAAGUUCAGCGGGUAUUCCUACCUGAUCCGAGGUCAACAUUCAGAAGUUGGGGGUUUAACGGCUUGGCCGCGCCGCGUACCAGUUGCGAGGGUUUUACUACUACGCAAUGGAAGCUGCAGCGAGACCGCCACUAGAUUUCGGGGCCGGCUUGCCGCAAGGGCUCGCCGAUCCCCAACACCAAACCCGGGGGCUUGAGGGUUGAAAUGACGCUCGAACAGGCAUGCCCGCCAGAAUACUGGCGGGCGCAAUGUGCGUUCAAAGAUUCGAUGAUUCACUGAAUUCUGCAAUUCACAUUACUUAUCGCAUUUUGCUGCGUUCUUCAUCGAUGCCAGAACCAAGAGAUCCGUUGUUGAAAGUUUUGAUUUAUUUAUGGUUUUACUCAGAAGUUACAUAUAGAAACAGAGUUUAGGGGUCCUCUGGCGGGCCGUCCCGUUUUACCGGGAGCGGGCUGAUCCGCCGAGGCAACAAUUGGUAUGUUCACAGGGGUUUGGGAGUUGUAAACUCGGUAAUGAUCCCUCCGCUGGUUCCCAACGGAGACUUGUCGCCAUUUUU